GACGCGGUGGCCUAAUGGUUAGCGCGUUGGACUCCGGAUCGAGCGGUCCGGGUUCGAUCCCUAUAGCCUGGGUCA